GGCUCAUUAUAUAAGUUAUCGUUUAUUUGAUAGUACCUUACUACAUGGAUAACCGUGGAAANUCUNNAGCUAAUACAUGCUGAAAAUCCCGACUUCGGAAGGGAUGUAUUUAUUAGAUACAAAACCAAUGCCCUUCGGGGCUCUCUUGGUGAUUCAUGAUAACUUCUCCAAUCGCACGGCCCCGCGCCGGCGAUGGUUCAUUCAAAUUUCUUCCCUAUCAACUUUCGAUGCUACGGUAUUGUCCUAGCAUGGUUGCAACGGGUGACGGAGGGUUAGGGCUCGACCCCGGAGAAGGAGCCUGAGAAACGGCUACUACAUCCAAGGAAGGCAGCAGGCGCGCAAAUUACCCAAUCCCGACUCGGGGAGGUAGUGACGAUAAAUACCGAUACAGGGCUCUUUUGGGUCCUGUAAUUGGAAUGAGUACAAUUCAAAUCCCUUAACGAGGAACAAUUGGAGGGCAAGUCUGGUGCCACCAGCCGCGGAAAUUCCAGCUCCAAUAGCGUAUAUUAAAGUUGUUGUGGUUAAAAAGCUCGUAGUAGAAGAUCGGGCUCCGGCCGACCGGUUCGCCUCACCGAGUGUACUGGUUAGGCCGGGUAUUCACCUUUUGCGGAACCGCAUUUCCUUCACUGGGGGGUGUCGGGGGAAACAGGGACGGUUUACUGGGGAAAAAAUUAAAAGUGCUCCNUGGCAGGGCCUAUGCUCCAAAUAAGAUUAA
rnacentral:rRNA from 1 species